rnacentral:lncRNA from 10 species
CUCUUUUGGGGAAACCAAGCAGAAAGGAGGCCUCAGGAAAUUCCCCUGAGAGAUACAGACUAGCCAACCACGCCUCCCGAGGAGCAGGUGCCUCCUCUCUGAGUGGCCAGAGAGACCCUGAAGUGAUGCCAGUGGAGAAGCAGGCGAGAAAAGCAUGGAAGGGCGUGGGGUCAAUCGCCGACAGCAGGAGCCCGGGGGAAUCUUUCCAAGGCGUCUUGGUGCCUGCAGCUUGGAUAAGCUGGGGCACAGCAGGCCGUUAUUGAUAAGGACAUUUAAUACGUAACAAGUGCCAGGUGACAUUUCCUCGUGGCUGCCAGUAGGGAUGUGGGCUCAGAUGUG